rnacentral:rRNA from 1 species
GUAAGGAAUAUUGGUCAAUGGAGGCAACUCUGAACCAGCCAUGCCGCGUGCAGGAAGACGGCCCUCUGGGUUGUAAACUGCUUUUAUUCGGGAAUAAACCUCCUUACGUGUAGGGAGCUGAAUGUACCGAAGGAAUAAGGAUCGGCUAACUCCGUGCCAGCAGCCGCGGUAAUACGGAGGAUCCAAGCGUUAUCCGGAUUUAUUGGGUUUAAAGGGUGCGUAGGCGGCUUAUUAAGUCAGGGGUGAAAGACGGUGGCUCAACCAUCGCAGUGCCCUUGAUACUGAUGAGCUUGAAUACAUUAGAGGUAGGCGGAAUGUGACAAGUAGCGGUGAAAUGCAUAGAUAUGUCACAGAACACCGAUUGCGAAGGCAGCUUACUAUGAUGAGAUUGACGCUGAGGCACGAAAGCGUGGGGAUCAAACAGGAUUAGAAACCCUAGUAGUCC